AUGAGCCGCCGCGCAGCAGACUUCCAGGAGUCGGUGCAGGAAUCCUCCCCGCCGCUGCCCGCUGAUCACAUGCUCGACUCUGCAGCCGUGUUAUUCCCUGGUGCUUUUGAUCAACACGGCUGCCCUCUGAUCGUGUUCCCGGCAGACGAACAAGCCAAACUCUCCUCAGAACUCAGCCAAGCAGAAGUGGUGGACUUCAUAAAUUACUUUCUGUGUCUGCACAAUAAGAGGCAGGAGAAGAGGAGUUUGGUGUCGGCGGUGGCUGAUCUGAGGUCUGCGUCGCUCCAAACCACCAGAUUCGUGGCCGAGACGCUGCUCCUGCUUGAGCGGAACAAGCGGACCGUCCACAGUGUGUACAUCGUUCAGCCCAAAAAGAAGGACGGUGUCAAGCUGCUGCUGAAGCUGCUGGCUCCCUCAAAGUCUCACACGGCCUCGUUCAAGAAAGUGCUGCUGAAAGAAAUCCCCGAGCUCUCCAACCACAUUGACCGAAGCCAGCUAACUGCAUCGUUGGGCGGCUACCUGGUCUACUGUCACCACAGUUGGGUGGCCUUCAUCAAGGAGAUCAAUGCGUUUGUUCAGGAGUUUCUGUCCGUGGUCCAGCGGUUGCCCUCGUGCAUCUCCACCCUGCAGGCGCUGUCCAGGCUGCCUCCGCCCUCCACCUUCCACGAGCUCCGACACUUCUGCUCCACCAACGAAGCCAAGUUCCAGCAGCUGAGGAGGGAGCUGGGCCUGGAUGAACUGCUGAACCACUGCGAGGGUGUCGCGGAGAAGCUACGUCACCCCGAGAAGGAGCCGUGCUACCAGGCGAUGGCCGGCACCGCCCUCUUCACCCACACCGCCUUCGACAUGCUGCAGAACCACAGCAGAAUAACUGCUGCUAUGGAAAAAGUGGAGCUUCUGUGGCAGCAGGCCUUUUCUAAGGCCCGCCUCCAGUUGCAGAUGUUCCAGCUGCGAGAGGACGCCCUGCAGGCGAGUCUGUGCUUUCACGUUUUAAACAAGCCGCGUUUGCCUCUUAAAUUUCGGACUGCUUCCACGAACCAAGAUGUGUUUCCUCUUUGUGUCCAGAUCACAGAGCAGAUCAAGACUCUCCUGCAAGAGAAGCUCCAGCCUUACAAAAUAGAGAUCGCCAGGGAUGCUGCGAGGGCAGUGAUGUUGGUGUCAGAAUUUGAAGUGUCCAUUCACACGCCUGCAAUGGCCCUCGUUGGCUGCGCUGAGGAUGUGAUCCACGCAGUGGCGGAGGUCCUUCUGUACGACGGGCAGACCAGUGAGCGCUGGGUUCUGGAUGUGGAGCGGCUGAAAGAGAAACUCUACUCUGCUGUGAACUUCAUCCUCCGAACCCUCAGAGCGGUUUCCAGCUACCACAAACACUACAACAAGGCAAGUCCUCCACCUCCGAGGACCUUUUUGAAAGUACUCAUUGACGUUUAG
ensembl:lncRNA